rnacentral:rRNA from 1 species
GACGAACGCUGGCGGCGUGCCUAAUACAUGCAAGUCGAGCGAAUCUAAUUAAAAGCUUGCUUUUGAUUAGAUUAGCGGCGGACGGGUGAGUAACACGUGGGCAACCUGCCUAUAAGACCGGGAUAACUUGCGGAAACGUGAGCUAAUACCGGAUAACAUAAGAAACCGCAUGGUUUCUUAUUAAAAGGUGGCGCAAGCUACCACUUAUAGAUGGGCCCGCGGCGCAUUAGCUAGUUGGUGAGGUAAUGGCUCACCAAGGCGACGAUGCGUAGCCGACCUGAGAGGGUGAUCGGCCACACUGGGACUGAGACACGGCCCAGACUCCUACGGGAGGCAGCAGUAGGGAAUCUUCCGCAAUGGACGCAAGUCUGACGGAGCAACGCCGCGUGAGCGAUGAAGGUCUUCGGAUCGUAAAGCUCUGUUGUAAGGGAAGAACAAGUACCAGAGUAACUGCUGGUACCUUGACGGUACCUUACCAGAAAGCCACGGCUAACUACGUGCCAGCAGCCGCGGUAAUACGUAGGUGGCAAGCGUUGUCCGGAAUUAUUGGGCGUAAAGCGCGCGCAGGCGGUCUUUUAAGUCUGAUGUGAAAGCCCCCGGCUCAACCGGGGAUGGUCGGUUGAGCUGGGUAAUUGCUGGAGGAGGGAAGGGCGUGAUUUCUGGAGGGUUGUUGGAAUUGUAGAGAGUUGGACGAACAUCGGUGGAGAAGGUGUUUCUUUUUUUUGGAACUGACGAUGAGGAGAGAAAGGGGGGGGAACAACAUUGAUUAGAUUCCGUGUUAGUCCACGCAGUAAACGACAAGUGCUAAGUGGGAGAGUGUUUGUUCUCUUUAGUGUAGCAGCAAACUCAAUAAGCACUCCGCGUGGGGAGUACGGCAGCAAGGCUGAAACUCAAAGGAAUUGAGGGGGGCCCGCACAAGCGGUGGAGCAUGUGGUUUUAUUUGAAGCAGCGCGAAGAACCUUACCAGGUCUCGACAUCCUGUGCUAACCCUAGAGAUAGGGCGUUCCCCUUCGGGGGACGGAGUGACAGCUGGUGCAUGGUCGUCGUCAGCUCGGGUAGUGAGAUGUUAGUUUAAGUCCGGCAACGAGCGCAACCCUUGUCUUUAGUUGCCAGCAUUUAGUUGGUCACUGUAAGGAGACUGCCGGUGACAAACCGGAGGAAGGUGGGGAUGACGUCAAAUCAUCACGCCCCUUAUGGCGUGGGCUACACACGUGAUACAAUGGAUGGUACAAAGGGCAGAGAAGCCGCGAGGUGAAGUGAAUCCCAUAAAACCAUUGUCAGUUCGGAUUUUAGGAUGCAACUCUCAUACAUGAAGCGGGAAUCGUUAGUAAUCGUGGAUCAGCAUGCCGCGGAGAAUACGUUCCCGGUCGUUGUACACACCGCCCGUCUCACCAAGAGAGUUUGCAACACCAGAAGUCGGUGUG